GAUGAACGCUGGCGGCGUGCUUAAUACAUGCAAGUCGAACGCUGAAGGAAGGAGCUUGCUCUUUCCGGAUGAGUUGCGAACGGGUGAGUCACGCGUAGGUAACCUGCCUGGUAGCGGGGGACAACUAUUGGAAACGAUAGCUAAUACCGCAUAACAGUAGAUGUUGCAUGAUACCUACUUAAAAGGUGCAUUUGCACCACUACCAGCUGGACCUCCGUUGUAUUAGCUAGUUGGUGAGGUAACGGCUCACCAAGGCGAAGAUACAGAGCCGAGCUGAGAGGGUGAUCGGCCACACUGGGGCUGGGGCACGGCCCAGGCUCCUACGGGAGGCAGCAGUAGGGAAUCUUCGGCAAAGGGCGGAAGGCUGGCCGAGCAACGCCGCGUGGGUGGAUGAGGGUUUCGGGUCGUAAAGCUCUGUUGUGAGAGAAGAACGAGGAUGGGGGUAAAAAGUUCGCACUGUGACGGUAUCUUACCAGAAAGGGACGGCUAACUACGUG
rnacentral:rRNA from 1 species